GUUGGCUGCUUUGUGAAGAAGAGAGUUAGGAGGAGCAGCAGCAGCCUAUGAGAAACACCAAGAAGAGCCUUCUCUUCUCGAUCCAACUUUGUCAUCCUGUCAUCUCCUGGAGGAGACCGGCUCCAUCCCUCUGUUCAUCUUGGUGCCCCUCCUCUGGACUCAUUCCAAAAGGUCGAUGUCCUUCCUUUUCUGAGGAUCCAGAGGGGGAGACAGGCAGAGUCAGAAAUUGCUUCUGCAUGAGCUUGGAUUUUAUCCUCAGAAGACUCUUCAGCAACACUCCAACACUGUACAAGCAGAGGUACUUAUACACCUCUUAAAUGUAGGGGCCUCCAGAGUCUUUGCCAGGCGGAGCAGUCCCAGCUCUCUCUGCUCUUCCAGGAGCUCCAUCAUCUUAAAGUACUCAUGACAAACCCAGUCCUG